AUUGAACGCUGGCGGCAUGGCUAAAACAUGCAAGUCCGGGAUAGCCUUCGGGUGAAACCGGCGGAAGGGCGAGUAAUGCGAUCGAACGUACCCCGAGGUGGAGGAUAGCUGUGGGAAACUGCAGGUAAUACUCCAUGUGUUCCAAGGAAGAAAGCUUCGGCGCCUUGGGAGCGGCGAUCGUCCUAUCAGGUAGUUGGCGGGGUAAUGGCCCACCAAGCCGAAGACGGGUAGCGGGUGUGAGAGCACGGCCCGCCGCAUCGGGACUGAGACACUGCCCGGACUCCUACGGGAGGCUGCAGUAACGAAUAUUCCGCAAUGCGCGAAAGCGUGACGGAGCAAUGCCGCGUGCAGGAUGAAGCGGUUUCGCCGUGUAAACUGCUGUCAGGGA
rnacentral:rRNA from 1 species